UACGUAGGGACCGAGCGUUGUCCGGAUUCAUUGGGCGUAAAGAGCUCGUAGGCGGCUGCUCAAGUCGAAUGUGAAAACUCGAGGCUCAACCUCGAGCCUGCAUUCGAUACUGGGCGGCUAGAGUCUGGUAGGGGGAUCUGGAAUUCCUGGUGUAGCGGUGGAAUGCGCAGAUAUCGGGAGGAACACCAGCGGCGAAGGCGGCACUCUGGGCUGGUACUGACGCUGAGGAGCGAAAGCGUGGGUAGCAAACAGG
rnacentral:rRNA from 1 species